GCAAGUGUGGCCGAGUGGUUAAGGCGUGACGUUUAGGUUAUCAUUGAUAAUCCGUCAUCUUCAUGGGCGUGAGUUCGAAUCUCAUCGCUUGCA
rnacentral:tRNA from 1 species